rnacentral:rRNA from 1 species
UACGAAGGGGGCGAGCGUUGUUCGGAAUUACUGGGCGUAAAGGGCGCGUAGGCGGCCAACUUUGUCAGGCGUGAAAGCCCUGGGCUCAACCUAGGAGGUGCGCUUGGGACGGGUUGGCUAGAGAUCGGGAGAGGAGAGUGGAAUUCCCAGUGUAGAGGUGAAAUUCGUAGAUAUUGGGAAGAACACCGGUGGCGAAGGCGGCUCCCUGGACCGAAACUGACGCUGAGGCGCGAAAGCGUGGGGAGCAAACAGG